GACGAACGCUGGCGGCGUGCUUAACACAUGCAAGUCGAACGGUGACCCUCGGAGCUUGCUUCGGGGUGAACAGUGGCGAACGGGUGAGUAACACGUGAGCAACCUGCCCCUGACUCUGGAAUAAGCGCUGGAAACGGCGUCUAAUACCGGAUACGACACGAACGGGCAUCCGUAUCGUGUGGAAAGUUUUUCGGUCUGGGAUGGACUCGCGGCCUAUCAGCUUGUUGGUGAGGUAAUGGCUCACCAAGGCGAUGACGGGUAGCCGGCCUGAGAGGGCGACCGGCCACACUGGGACUGAGACACGGCCCAGACUCCUACGGGAGGCAGCAGUGGGGAAUAUUGCACAAUGGGCGAAAGCCUGAUGCAGCGACGCCGCGUGAGGGAUGACGGCCUUCGGGUUGUAAACCUCUUUCAGCAGGGAAGAAGCGAAAGUGACGGUACCUGCAGAAGAAGCACCGGCUAACUACGUGCCAGCAGCCGCCGUAAUAC
rnacentral:rRNA from 1 species